rnacentral:rRNA from 1 species
GACGGACGCUGGCGGCGUGCUUAACACAUGCAAGUCGAACGGAAAGGCCUGCUUUCCCUUGUGGAUUGCGGGUACUCGAGUGGCGAACGGGUGAGUAACACGUGAGUGAUCUGCCCCCAACUUGGGUAUAAGCCUGGGAAACUGGGUCUAAUUCCCGAUAGGACUGCAGGGUGGUGCCUGUGGUGGAAAACGAUUUUCUAGUGGUUGGGGAUGAGCUCGCGGCCUAUCAGCUUGUUGGUGGGGUAAUGGCCUACCAAGGCGGCGACGGGUAGCCGGCCUGGGAGGGUGGACGGCCACAUUGGGACUGAGAUACGGCCCAGACUCCUACGGGAGGCAGCAGUGGGGAAUAUUGCACAAUGGGCGGAAGCCUGAUGCAGCGACGCCGCGUGGGGGAUGACGGCCUUCGGGUUGUAAACUCCUUUCGACCGCGAGGAAGCCACCUGGUUGGAAGGGUGGUGACGGUAGUGGUAGAAGAAGCACCGGCUAACUACGUG